GAAAACAAGAGUCAUGCUCAGGGACCACACAGGACUGGACCUGCACUCUCAGUUUCAGGUGCUGACGAUAUAAAGAAGAGUUCCUGCAGAGCUGCUGCAGUGUUUCUGGGUCUGCUGUGUCUUCUCCUCCUGGCUGGACUCAUAACUCUGGUUUUCCUCUACACCCGAGGCAGGUCUGAGUGGGAAAAGGAGAUGGUCCAGAUACAGACCGACUACAA